AUCCUUUCUGGUUCAGAAAUAUGAUGAAUGGGUUUGCUCACGCGCAUGCGUGACAUGUGCCGCCCUCUUUCGUUACGACUAGGGCACAGCACCCAUCUGACU